rnacentral:lncRNA from 1 species
AGAUGUUAUGUGUUUGGAUUGCAGGCCAUGAGGAUACCUCCAAAUUUAAGAGAUAAGGAGACACGGUAAAUAAAAAUCUUUGUUGCCUUAUAUCAUUUAUAUCAUCUUAGAGUACAAAAUUAUAACAUCAAGGUCCAUGAAAUUACGAAGAACAAAAGAAGAAAAAAUAGUUAUUGAGAGCAUGCACAAAAAUUAAAUGACAACAAGUGGAAUAUUCUAGCAUAAUGUAUAUUGUACAAUUAUCUUGCCAGAGAAAGAACUCAUUUCUCUCAUUAGGGUCUUUUAGACCGUUACACAUUGAUCUUUACGACACCUAACAUUAACUCCUCGAAGUUUAGGACAAUCUUUAUCUGUUUUACAAGCCCUGUCAAAAGUCUUACUAAAAGAAGAAUUAGAUACUAUUAUGCAAAGAAAUAUGGAAAGAAAUAGAAUAAAAACAUAAACUAACUUCGGAGUUUCCACCAUAUUUUUCUCUAUUUGUGUCCAAAUAAUAGUAAAUGACUUGAUCUCUUUAUAUUGUAUAAUCAAUUUCAUAGUCUUAUAGAAAUAAUUAAAUAGUUUAAGCAUUAUACAAUUUUAAAAACCCUUUAAAAUUCUAGAAUCAUUACUAAAUGUCUCUUAAAUAUACCAAUCUAUUAUUUUU